UCGCGGUCCAUCUAGUUAAAAAAGAAUUAAAUCUAGGUCCUUGGUUUUAGCAGUUUAGCCCCUGAUCCAUUGGUUUUUAUAGAUUUAGUCCAAAAUGCUUUUAAAAUUCAGUUUUAAUUAUUUAAAAUACAAAAAAAAUAGUUCUGUUAAUCACAGUUUUGCCACUGAUCUAGUUUUGGCCAUAGAAUGCUCGUUUUAACUCCGAUUGAGCCCGUUCUUGUCGCGUUAGGUUCGUAUCGACGUAAACUAUGCUUUAGUAGCAAUGUUCACCAUGUCUGAUACUUUUAGAUUUCAUCAUAAAUGUUAUUUUGUAAAUGCUUAUUCAAUAAUCAUUGGAAAUCAAAAGCAACUUAGGGGUUAGUAAAUCUCUGAUCUUUUUCAUAAAAUAAGUACUAGUAUGUUCUAUGCCAACUUAAAUGUCUUUUUAGUUGUGAUCUACUUAAUCCAAUCUUAUUUCAUAAAUGCUCUGUAUAACUUGUCACCAAUUCCUUGUUUUCUGAUUAAAAGCAGAAAUGUGACUUAAAUGAUGUAGAAUGGUUUGUAAUUAGAUUUUGACUAAAAUUUAACUCCAGCUUUUAUAAUUCUUUAUAAUCUGGUCCAUUCAAAUUUGAGAUAUUUCUCUAAAAAGUCUAUCACCAUCUUUUAUGAAAUAAAAUACGACCAGCUUAUAGUCGUCUUCUUCGUUACACGUCGAACCUCGAAAGUCGUGUCCAUUUAACGAUAGCUCCGGUCUCAAUCGUUCUUGCGUUGUCACGAUCAUAGCAACAAGCCGUGUCGUUUAGUACUAUCUCUUUCAAAGCUUUUCUUUUGGUUGAUGCUUGUUCUUAGUCGUGAUUGUCUGUUUGUCUGUUUGUGUUGCUUGUUUGUUGCGAAUAGAAGAAGCGUGGUUUGUUAGCGCCCGAAUGUCACGAGCUGAGGACCGACAGUCGAAGCAGAAGUUGGAGAUUAGAAGAAAGAAGCCAAAGAAUUCUGAGCAGAUAUACACUGGGAAUAAAGGCAAGUGCAGGCACCCUUUGAUCAUAUUGUACCUAUGAAUUUUAAAUAUAUUUACUUUCCAUUGCAUGUGUCUUAAUACUACAAACCAUAAGGACAUGACUAGCCCUGUACUAUAUUCCUUGUAAUCCUGGGUUUAUACAUGGGUAGUAUAGUGAACUGUAGAUAUGCUUAGCUGCUCUGUUCAUCUAUUCCAUAUAAUAAAUGAAAGUAAAUAAUCUUGCCUAAUGAAUUAUUCAAUGAUGAUUAAUGUUUAAAUGAUGAACAAUGGUCACUUUGGUGAUGGAGAUGUUGCAGUGCUUGUGAGCAUCAUGGUUUCUUGAGGAAAGGGGGAGCGGGUACUGUUGGUUGGCCCGGUUGUCGGGCGUACCCGUCUCUGCACUCUGUAAGGACUUAGUCAUGGAGCGGCCCCCUGGGACAUACAGUGUAGCUCCAAGCUAUAUGGCUCUGGCUUGACUAAUUAGCAGGACCUCGACUAGUAGGGUGUUACUUUCUGGGUAGGCGUGAGGAAGUAACUUGGGUAACGAAUAUUAAGUUGUCGGUUGAUCGGUAUGUCAUGGCUAUGGGUAUUGACUGCCGAGCGCCCCGGCAAAAACUUACGAGUGGCAUCCUAUUAGUUGGACCCUGUGAAAGGUCUCGUAGUGAGACCGUACCUGCUCACCUUGGUAGUGUUUUGGGGAGUCGCGAUCCCAGGCAAAUGGGAAUCACGACUUGGAGUGAAAGUGCACACCUCUACAGAGUGUAAAACUGAUAUAUCAGUCGUGCUCACGGUCACGAGCGGCCCAGACUCUGACAUGAUGAGCAAAUUGGAAUCACAUGGAACUUAGAGGCGGAACUUGGUUGAGGUUGCUACCUCAUGCUUUGGCGGAAUGGCUAUUCCGUGUUGGUAGGAUUGCUAUCAUGUGUUCUUAAUUGGGAUUGCUAUCCCCUAACCUUAAUGGGGUGGCUACCCCAAGUUACUAUCCGAGGUUGCUACCUCGGUAAUCUUAAUAAUAAUUAUUAUUAUAAUGAUGAGUAAUAAUAUUGUUAAUAUACUUUCAUCUAAUUAAGGGUUGGGAUGCUUCACUCAUAUUUAGUAAUAGGUUGUUUUAAUAAAAGAAUUAUAAUAAAAGUUUACCAACUAAAAAGCUCACUGCAGUUAAACAGUGUCAGCUUUUCCUUUGAUUAAGCCUCAUGUCAUUAUACUUUCCGCCUGUACUUGUUGAGUUCGACAUGAACUCGCCCUUGCUAUUUCCCUCACACCCCAUUGUGUAGUAAAGUGCUGCUCAGAAGAAGGACAGAUAUGCUAUGAAGUUUUCUAGAAGUAUAUCAGAAGUGCUUGGUGUACGGAGCCCCAAGUCAACCGUCCCUGAGAAGAAUGGAGCCUAAGAAGUUUAGCUACUGUUUCCGCAUACUCUGAUGUUUGUAAGUGUUAUUAUAAAUAUGUUUUCCGCUAUAUAUAACAUUGUUUCCAAUAUUUCUAUUUUUUGUUGUAUGUGUGGACUUUCUAAAUCCAAGGUGUGACAGACCGUCAAAUUUAUACAAGUUUAAGUACGAAUGUCCCCGUUUAACACGUUGACACACACAUACUCUCACUUAUAUAAACCCGGUAGUCUGCCGAGUGUCACGAAGGACCUCAGUGAAUCAACU
rnacentral:lncRNA from 1 species